CCUACGGGUGGCAGCAGUUGGGAAUAUUGGGCAGUGGGCGCAAGCCUGACCCAGCAACGCCGCGUGAAGGAAGCAGGCUUUCGGGUUGUAAACUUCUUUUGUCAGGGACGAGUAGAAGGCGGUACCUGACGAAUACGCCACGGCUACCUACGUGCCAGCAGCCGCGGUAAUACGUAGGUGGCAGGCGUUGUCCGGAUUUACUGGGUGUAAAGGGCGUGUAGCCGGGUUGACAAGUCAGAUGUGAAAUCCUGAGGCUUAACAGCAGAACUGCAUUUGAAACUGGCAAGCUUGAGUACUGGAGAGGCAGACGGAAUUCCUGGUGUAGCGGUGAAAUGCGUAGAGAUCAGGAGGAACACCAGUGGCGAAGGCGGUCUGCUGGACAGCAACUGACGGUGAGGAGCGAAAGCGAGGGGAGCAAACAGGAUUAGAUACCCGGGUAGUC
rnacentral:rRNA from 1 species